CAUAGAGUUCUAAUAAAACAGUCAUGUCUCUCAUCGUAUUCUUAUAAUCAAGUUUCAAGUUUGUUUUUGUAGUUUUGAACCUAUAAGAAAAAGGUCCAAAUACAAGGUCAAAGCAAGAGAAGCCAAUAAAAGUGAUCAACAACAUUGUCCUCCUUCAUUGAUCAUAUUAUCCCUUUAUUCAGAAACAACCUGCCAAGUAUAAAGGAGGUAAUAAUGUGUUAGAUUGUAGUUUCAUAUUGAUUAUUAUAAAUAAUCAAAAUGCAGAAAUAGCAUUGUUGCCCAGCUAUGCAACCAAAGAGGGGGGGUGAAUUGGAUUUUUAAAAUUUUAAAGUUAAUUUAGAACCACAAAGAUUAAGUAAUAAAAAACAAGUUAUAUGUAGUAAGUAAUUUAAGUAAGGUGUAGAAAUGAGAUGCAAGAAUACAAGAAGAUAAAGAAAUUUACAA
rnacentral:lncRNA from 1 species